AAAUUGAAGAGUUUGAUCAUGGCUCAGAUUGAACGCUGGCGGCAGGCCUAACACAUGCAAGUCGAGCGGAAACGAGUUAUCUGAACCUUCGGGGAACGAUAACGGCGUCGAGCGGCGGACGGGUGAGUAAUGCCUAGGAAAUUGCCCUGAUGUGGGGGAUAACCAUUGGAAACGAUGGCUAAUACCGCAUGAUGCCUACGGGCCAAAGAGGGGGACCUUCGGGCCUCUCGCGUCAGGAUAUGCCUAGGUGGGAUUAGCUAGUUGGUGAGGUAAGGGCUCACCAAGGCGACGAUCCCUAGCUGGUCUGAGAGGAUGAUCAGCCACACUGGAACUGAGACACGGUCCAGACUCCUACGGGAGGCAGCAGUGGGGAAUAUUGCACAAUGGGCGCAAGCCUGAUGCAGCCAUGCCGCGUGUGUGAAGAAGGCCUUCGGGUUGUAAAGCACUUUCAGUCGUGAGGAAGGUAGUGUAGUUAAUAGCUGCAUUAUUUGACGUUAGCGACAGAAGAAGCACCGGCUAACUCCGUGCCAGCAGCCGCGGUAAUACGGAGGGUGCGAGCGUUAAUCGGAAUUACUGGGCGUAAAGCGCAUGCAGGUGGUUUGUUAAGUCAGAUGUGAAAGCCCGGGGCUCAACCUCGGAAUUGCAUUUGAAACUGGCAGACUAGAGUACUGUAGAGGGGGGUAGAAUUUCAGGUGUAGCGGUGAAAUGCGUAGAGAUCUGAAGGAAUACCGGUGGCGAAGGCGGCCCCCUGGACAGAUACUGACACUCAGAUGCGAAAGCGUGGGGAGCAAACAGGAUUAGAUACCCUGGUAGUCCACGCCGUAAACGAUGUCUACUUGGAGGUUGUGGCCUUGAGCCGUGGCUUUCGGAGCUAACGCGUUAAGUAGACCGCCUGGGGAGUACGGUCGCAAGAUUAAAACUCAAAUGAAUUGACGGGGGCCCGCACAAGCGGUGGAGCAUGUGGUUUAAUUCGAUGCAACGCGAAGAGCCUUACCUACUCUUGACAUCCAGAGAACUUUCCAGAGAUGGAUUGGUGCCUUCGGGAACUCUGAGACAGGUGCUGCAUGGCUGUCGUCAGCUCGUGUUGUGAAAUGUUGGGUUAAGUCCCGCAACGAGCGCAACCCUUAUCCUUGUUUGCCAGCGAGUAAUGUCGGGAACUCCAGGGAGACUGCCGGUGAUAAACCGGAGGAAGGUGGGGACGACGUCAAGUCAUCAUGGCCCUUACGAGUAGGGCUACACACGUGCUACAAUGGCGCAUACAGAGGGCGGCCAACUUGCGAAAGUGAGCGAAUCCCAAAAAGUGCGUCGUAGUCCGGAUUGGAGUCUGCAACUCGACUCCAUGAAGUCGGAAUCGCUAGUAAUCGUGGAUCAGAAUGCCACGGUGAAUACGUUCCCGGGCCUUGUACACACCGCCCGUCACACCAUGGGAGUGGGCUGCAAAAGAAGUAGGUAGUUUAACCUUCGGGGGGACGCUUACCACUUUGUGGUUCAUGACUGGGUGAAGUCGUAACAAGGUAGCGCUAGGGGAACCUGGCGCUGGAUCACCUCCUUAAACGAUGAU
rnacentral:rRNA from 1 species